rnacentral:misc_RNA from 1 species
AGGCAUCGCCUCACCGCCCCAAUUGCCUCUCGCCUCCAUGGUCUCGGGCGCUCACCUGUUAUCACUUGCCUUGCCUUAGCCAGGCAAGGCGCAAGGGGCUCACCUUGCCCAAUGUCUUUCUCCACCUUUAACGACAUUGCCACUAGUCCCUCUCUACUUCAAUCUCCCAUAACAACAGCAGCAACAACCAGGCAAGGAAUUCCUUAGCGGUCCACCACCACCACCACCAAUGAUGUGACAACCUUUGGCUUCUUCAACUACACACAAUCCCACAAAUUAUCACCAUCCCUCCGCCUAUGGCCCUCCCCCACUCCUUAUGAAGGAAAGACUGGUGUGGGUGUGAGCAUGCAUGAAUGGUCAAUUUGAUGUCGGUUUCUACUCUGCCUACCUUGUAGUGGAAAGGUGAU